rnacentral:lncRNA from 1 species
CAUAUUAAAACCAUCAAAAAUAAUUAAGCGGGCUUAUUACAUUUAAAAACCCAAAACUUCAAACGUAAAUAAAAGGAUGUCCAGUUCACCAGAAGAAAAUUAAACUUUCAGAACGGGUGGCCACUCCGAAUUCCCUCACAGCUCCAAGCCCACUAUGGUUGGGGAUUACCUGCGUGGAUGAAAAUAAAAGGGGUGAGUUUGGGGAAACUCAGUGUGUAAAUUAACCCAACCAUAGCCUAUAUCAGCUCAAACCACUGAAAUAGAAUAAGUUGGCCUUAGCCCAGAACAGAAUUCAAAAUAAAGCCCAUAGGCCCAUAACAGAACAGAACAGAUAUUACAUGUUUAUGCAGAAACCCAACCCAGAUUCAUCCAUAACACCCCCGUGCCAGCCUUACACCAUGUGGGGAGACUACUCGACCCACCCAACCGCUACACACCACAGAAUUCGCAGCGAGGCUGCCAGAUAUUGUGACGAAGUCACCAGAUACAGAUAUUGUGGCAGAGCCACCAGAACAGAUAUAUGUGGCAGAGCCACUAGAUCAGAUAAUCGUGGCAUAGCCACCAGAACAGAUAUGAACAGAUAUAUGUGGCAGAGCCAUCAGAUCAGAUAAUCGUGGCAUAGCCACCAGAACAGAUAUAUGUGGCAGAGCCACCAGAUCAGAUAAUUGUGGCAUAGCCAUCAGGACGCUUCCUCCAUAAUAUAACCCAUGUCCCCAUGCAACAGAUAUAUAAUCAUGGCAUGCAUCAUACAGAAUCAGAUCGUCAUGCUUUUCAGUCAAAAUUAACCCUAGGGGUAUAACGGUAAUUUUGCACCUAAGGGUAUAACAGUAAUUUUCCAUGCAUAGGGGUAUUAUAGUAAUUUAGCUACUUCUAGGGUUUUCAUGCAUAUCGUAACUAUUUACGUACUAUCAGAACACUUACCCCGCAUACUUACCAAAUUGGGCCCGUUGGCCCAUGAACCCGAUCUUUGGCCUAUUAAGCCCAAAUUAUCAAAAUGUACGAAAUCGUGCGUACUGCAGUUUAUUACUUUAGAUUACCAAAUAUACAACCCAACUAUCUUACGAGCAUUCUCACACUCGUAAAUUCCCAAAAUACCGACUUUUCGGCAUUUCGGCUUUUCGGCUUUUGCCAAUCUAGUCUAUGAGAGGGUGUCAGUUACACACCUAUUUGCGACGAUAUGCUGACGAGAUCCACACACGAACCGCCUACAAUUGGAUUACUAACACGUUAAUCUAACUAUUCAAAUACGAACUACGUAUUAACCCCUUACAAUAUUCGGCCAACCAAACCUACAGAUCAGAGUAAGCUUAUAAGAAAUCAAUAAGCAACUCAUUAACAAAUUUUUGUCAGUGUUUACCACAUAAUCAUAAUUUCACUGCAAGCUGUCUUCCUGAGCAACAGUCACUAAAUCAUUUAUAACUGGAGUUACAAAAAUCCAAAUCAAGUGCCGUUAAUUUUCCCUGAAAAUAGACUCAUAUAUCUUCUAUCCAUAAAAUUUUCAUAAUUUUUGGUUUAGCCAAUCAAUACCAGAUUUUUCUCAAAGUUUCCCAUGUUUCACUGUUUGACUAAUCUGACCACUCUUAAUUACGAAUAAAAUUUCUCAUUGUACAGAAUUCAAAAUAUGUUAUUGUUUAUUUCAUUUGAAACUAGACUCAAUAAGCUUUAAUUACAUAAUUUAUUCAGCUUCUAAUUCAUCUCCCACAAUUUAUGGUAAUUUUCCAAAAUCACGUUACUGCUGCUAUCCCAAGCAGAUUUAUUACCAAAUCACUCUUUCACACCUAACUUGCAUGCUUGUUAUUUAAACAUGUAUAUCACCAAUCAAUGAUCACAUAUCUAUGAUUUUACUUAAGUAUAAUCUCCAUUUCAUCAUUUUAAAGCACAACAUUUUAGCCGAUUUUUCCCCUUAGCAUCUAAGGCACAUGCAUGCUCAUUUGUUUGGCUCAACUUCACCUAUCUUCCAUUUUUCAUCAAAAGAACAUGAAACAACAACCAUUUCCUUCAUUUUAAUUCAUGACUAAAUGCUCACAACACAACUAAAAACCAAAAUAUGCUUCAAGAGUUAAGGUAGAAUCAAGAAGAACUCAUGAACAUCAAUAUAGAAGCAAACUACCAUGAAAUUACCUUCAAUUUUCUUCCCCAAGUGACCGAACAUUCAAGAGCUUUCUCCUCUCCUUUCUCUUCUCUAACUUUCGGCUAUGAUGAACAAAGAUGGACAAAACUUUGUUCUUUUCACCCCUUUUUCUUUUAAUAAAAUUUCAUAUUUCAUCC